rnacentral:rRNA from 1 species
GACGAACGCUGGCGGCGUGCUUAACACAUGCAAGUCGAACGGAAAGGCCCUGCUUUUGUGGGGUGCUCGAGUGGCGAACGGGUGAGUAACACGUGAGUAACCUGCCCUUGACUUUGGGAUAACUUCAGGAAACUGGGGCUAAUACCGGAUAGGAGCUCCUGCUGCAUGGUGGGGGUUGGAAAGUUUCGGCGGUUGGGGAUGGACUCGCGGCUUAUCAGCUUGUUGGUGGGGUAGUGGCUUACCAAGGCUUUGACGGGUAGCCGGCCUGAGAGGGUGACCGGCCACAUUGGGACUGAGAUACGGCCCAGACGCCUACGGGAGGCAGCAGUGGGGAAUAUUGCACAAUGGGCGGAAGCCUGAUGCAGCAACGCCGCGUGCGGGAUGACGGCCUUCGGGUUGUAAACCGCUUUCGCCUGUGACGAAGCGUGAGUGACGGUAAUGGAUAAAGAAGCACCGGCUAACUACGUG